rnacentral:rRNA from 1 species
CCUACGGGGGGCUGCAGUGAGGAAUAUUGGUCAAUGGGCGCGAGCCUGAACCAGCCAAGUAGCGUGAAGGAUGACUGCCCUACGGGUUGUAAACUUCUUUUAUAAAGGAAUAAAGUGAUGCACGUGUGCCUUUUUGUAUGUACUUUAUGAAUAAGGAUCGGCUAACGCCGUGCCAGCAGCCGCGGUAAUACGGAGAGUCCGAGCGUUAUCCGGAUUUAUUGGGUUUAAAGGGUGCGUAGAUGGGAUGUUAAGUCAGUUGUGAAAGUUUGCGGGUCAACCGGAAAAUUGCAAUUGAUACUGGUAGCCUUGAGUACAGUAGAGGUAGGCGGAAUUCGUGGUGUAGCGGUGAAAUGCUUAGAUAUCACGAAGAACUCCGAUUGCGAAGGCAGCCUACUAGACUGCCACUGACAUUGAUGCUCGAAAGUGUGGGUAUCAAACAGGAUUAGAUACCCGAGUAGUC